rnacentral:misc_RNA from 1 species
AAUAAGUGUUUUAUGGCACUUUUUUAAGUCCAUAUCCAUCUUGUGUGCAAUGUCAGGGUUGGUCUCUCUUUUUUUAAAGACAUAUCGGCCCCAAACAUCAACCCUAUCUUUUAACUCUUUGUCUGAAAAAUAUUAUGAAUAAAACAAUUCAAAAUACAACUCUCAACAACGGAUCUCUUGGCUCU